UUAUUGAAGGGUUUAUCCCAA
rnacentral:piRNA from 1 species